rnacentral:rRNA from 1 species
GACGGGGCCCGCACAAGCGGUGGAUUAUGUGGAUUAAUUCGAUGCAACGCGAAAACCUUACCUGGCCUUGACAUGUAGCGAACUUCCAGAGAUGGAUUGGUGCUCGAAAGAGAACGCUAACACAGGUGCUGCAUGGCUGUCGUCAGCUCGUGUCGUGAGAUGUUGGGUUAAGUCCCGCAACGAGCGCAACCCUUGCCAUUAAUUGCCAUCAUUUAGUUGGGCACUUUAAUGGGACUGCCGGUGACAAACCGGAGGAAGGUGGGGAUGACGUCAAGUCCUCAUGGCCCUUAUGGCCAGGGCUUCACACGUAAUACAAUGGUCGGUACAGAGGGUUGCCAAGCCGCGAGGUGGAGCCAAUCCCAGAAAGCCGAUCGUAGUCCGGAUUGUAGUCUGCAACUCGACUACAUGAAGUCGGAAUCGCUAGUAAUCGCGGAUCAGCAUGUCGCGGUGAAUACGUUCCCGGGCCUU